AAUGGAGGCAACUCUGACGCAGCCAUGCCGCGUGCAGGAAGAAGGCGCUACGCGUUGUAAACUGCUUUUAUCCGGGAAGAAACCCUCCGACGUGUCGGAGGUUGACGGUACCGGAGGAAUAAGCACCGGCUAACUUCGUGCCAGCAGCCGCGGUAAUACGAAGGGUGCAAGCGUUAUCCGGAUUCAUUGGGUUUAAAGGGUGCGUAGGCGGAGUGUUAAGUCAGUGGUGAAAUCCUGCAGCUCAACUGUAGACUUGCCAUUGAUACUGACGCUCUUGAGUGCGCUUGAAGUGGGCGGAAUGUGCCGUGUAGCGGUGAAAUGCUUAGAUAUGGCACAGAACACCAAUUGCGAAGGCAGCUCACUAAGGCGAUACUGACGCUGAGGCACGAAAGCGUGGGGAUCGAA
rnacentral:rRNA from 1 species